rnacentral:rRNA from 1 species
GCAAGUCGAGCGAGAAGCUUAUGAAUGAUCCUUCGGGUGAAUGAUUAAGUGGAAAGCGGCGGACGGGUGAGUAACGCGUGGGUAACCUGCCCCAUACAAAGGGAUAGCCACUGGAAACGGUGAUUAAUACCAUAUAACAUCAUAGUAUCGCAUGAUACCUUGGUCAAAGAUUUAUCGGUAUGGGAUGGACCCGCGUCUGAUUAGCUAGUUGGUAAGGUAACGGCUUACCAAGGCGACGAUCAGUAUCUGGUUUGAGAGGACGAUC